AUGGCACUUUACAAAUCACCGAGGCCUUUGUACUGCUUUCUCCAGAUAUUUGAGGCAUCAUUGAUAAUGAUAUUUGCAAUGUAAGCAACAGUUUACAACACAAAAGUAUCAGGCCACAACACAACAGCAUUUCUUGUUGUACACAUGUACCCUGGGAAAAUCAAAAUGGGAGAUGAAGCUGACAGACUGUUGUGUAGCCGAACUCAGGUGCCAAUUAGAGAGGACUCUAAACUGAUACCAGACAAAUGAACAACAGAGGAAGGAAAGUCAUCCCAAAGGGAAGAGUAAAGGGAUAAACCUGACCCCGAGGAAAUACAGCUGCUCGGAUGACAAAUCACCAGUGUAAUGGGAACAAAAUGGGG